rnacentral:lncRNA from 1 species
CUCUAUACAAAAUUUUAAUCUCUACCCAAAAAGUGGUCAUUUUUAAUUUAUCUUUGUAUUUCUGGCAUUUAGAGCAAUGUCUGGCACAGUGUACCUUAUGGCCAAAAUAAUGGAAGGAAGAAAAGGAGAAAAAGUUGGGGAAAGAGGAAAAGAAGUUAGCAGAGUACAAAGAAUUUUCUUAGCUAUUCUUGGAAGGCACUCAAAUAUACCAGUCUAGCGUGUCAGUUUGGAAACCAGCUCGCCUCCAUCAUUUCCAGACGUUUGACACUAAUGGUUCCAGAGGCUUUUGAGUUCGUAUGGCUGCUUCACAGCAGGACUCUCCCUACGGAAUUGCCGGUGUUUCUAAUUGUUAUUACUCUACUUAUUUGAAGUACUCAAGACGUUAUACUAGCUGGUGCAUCCAGUUCCAUCAAUACUUCUUUGCAGCUUGCACAGAACAAAAGAUAGCAUAGAAGUAAUUUCUGGACCUCCCAUGACCUUAGAUGAACUUUGAAAAAGUUUAAUCACAGCAGGCAAGAAUCUAUCAAAUGGGGCAAGGAGUAACUAUGAUGAAGCUGAUGGGUAGAAUUUGCUAAAGGUAAGGAAAUGAGUUUCUUGCUUGUUUAUUACUCUUGGCGAUAAGAAACCAUAGGGAAUGAUAAAAUGGUGCUCAGAAGAGUUCUGAGACCAUCAGACACAUCAGCAGCAUGAAAUAUCAUGAAAAACAUUGGAACAAGAUGGCUGAUGGCACCUGAGGAUAAGAUCUUGUCUAUAAUUAUAGGAUUAAAAUUUUGUGCAAAUACAUUUUGAGACCAAAUGUAUAUUAAUGUUAUUUCCAGGUACAAGAAACAAAGUGAGAUUUCACAGUGGUAAAUAAAUUUGAAGAUGUGUAUUCUACAUGGAAGGUCAACUAUAUCCAUGCUUUAAUGUUAGGUAAGGAAGCUGAGGUUGCAUAUUACAAAUGUGGCUGUGGGACUUGGAAUUGAUUCCCUUAAAAGAUAGUGGAACCCAUACACACACACACACAAAUGACAGUUAUAGAAAACUACCUUUCUGCCUAAGAUGGUGAAGGACAAAUUGGCUAUCUUUGACUGAAAAAAGUAAUUGAAACCUAUGGCUGGUGCCACAUAUGAGUGAAUUACACUAUAGAGAGGGUACAAGCUGAAAAAUUAAAGUACAGUUCUUAACGAAUAAAUCUUGGUAACCUCAGGAGAAACAAUCAAGUCUACAACUCAUGAUGCAAGCAAAAACUAAUUCUUACAAAAUUUAAACUCGCAG